GUCUACAGUCAUCCCACCCUGAAGGUGCCUGAUCUUGUCUGAUCUCAGAAGCUAAGCAGGAUUGGGCCUGGUUAGUACUUGGAUGGGAGAUAAGAUGGAAGAUAGAUAGAAAGGCA
rnacentral:rRNA from 1 species